CCGGCAUUAUUCUCCAUGUGAAGAUGAUCUUAAGAGGAAAAUUUGAGAACUAGAAUGUCAUAUUGGUGAACUCUAGAUGGGGAGUUAUCAAUAGAAUGAUGGCUUCAGCUUUAACACUCAACCACCAUUCUCUCGAGAGAUCUUGAGCGAACCGAUCCCUGAUCGAUCAUGAUGCCACAAGUUGAGCCUCACAAUGGUUGGACCAAUCCACUCGACCAUCUAAAGGGAUACAAAGCUCCCAUGAUGAUGCUAUAAGGGGCAUCCGAUGCCCUCCUUUGUCUUGCAUGUUAGGAAUAUAUCCUAAAGCCAAGCAUCU
rnacentral:lncRNA from 1 species